UAGGAGGAACCAUUAUGCGAAGCAUAAUUCAGGAUGGUUCCGACGAUUGGCCGCCGACGAAGGAGGGGGCGUUACAUAU
rnacentral:sRNA from 1 species